CCGUAGUGAUGUGUGUUUUGUAUCUACUCAGGACGAACGCUGGCGGCGUGCCUAAUACAUGCAAGUCGAACGCUUCUUUUUCCACCGGAGCUUGCUCCACCGGAAAAAGAGGAGUGGCGAACGGGUGAGUAACACGUGGGUAACCUGCCCAUCAGAAGGGGAUAACACUUGGAAACAGGUGCUAAUACCGUAUAACAAUCAAAACCGCAUGGUUUUGAUUUGAAAGGCGCUUUCGGGUGUCGCUGAUGGAUGGACCCGCGGUGCAUUAGCUAGUUGGUGAGGUAACGGCUCACCAAGGCCACGAUGCAUAGCCGACCUGAGAGGGUGAUCGGCCACAUUGGGACUGAGACACGGCCCAAACUCCUACGGGAGGCAGCAGUAGGGAAUCUUCGGCAAUGGACGAAAGUCUGACCGAGCAACGCCGCGUGAGUGAAGAAGGUUUUCGGAUCGUAAAACUCUGUUGUUAGAGAAGAACAAGGAUGAGAGUAACUGUUCAUCCCUUGACGGUAUCUAACCAGAAAGCCACGGCUAACUACGUGCCAGCAGCCGCGGUAAUACGUAGGUGGCAAGCGUUGUCCGGAUUUAUUGGGCGUAAAGCGAGCGCAGGCGGUUUCUUAAGUCUGAUGUGAAAGCCCCCGGCUCAACCGGGGAGGGUCAUUGGAAACUGGGAGACUUGAGUGCAGAAGAGGAGAGUGGAAUUCCAUGUGUAGCGGUGAAAUGCGUAGAUAUAUGGAGGAACACCAGUGGCGAAGGCGGCUCUCUGGUCUGUAACUGACGCUGAGGCUCGAAAGCGUGGGGAGCAAACAGGAUUAGAUACCCUGGUAGUCCACGCCGUAAACGAUGAGUGCUAAGUGUUGGAGGGUUUCCGCCCUUCAGUGCUGCAGCUAACGCAUUAAGCACUCCGGCCGG
rnacentral:rRNA from 1 species